rnacentral:tRNA from 1 species
GGCAAGAUGGCCGAGCGGUCUAUGGCGUGUGACUCAAGCGAAAGCUUGCCUGAAAGCUUCAGGUUUCUCAUCCGGUAAUCCGGGCAGGGGUUCGAAUCCCCUUCUUGUCA